rnacentral:lncRNA from 1 species
UGAUUCGAUUCGAUCCGAUCCUAUCCGACCCCUUCUCUGGUCUCGAUUUCUGUUUUGUGUUGUUCCCCGUGUUCGUCCUCUCGGCGUGUUCGGUUGUUGCAGGAGCGGAUUUGAUCCGGGAUUUUGGAGGUUCCCGUGGCGUCGUGUGGCGAAGGGGGAAGUCGAGGUUUCGAGGAAGAGGAGGGAGGGAGGCUGUUGAGAUGAACCGAAUUGGUGGAGAUAGCACACAACUAAGAUGGAAUUUGCAAUCCAAACCUGCCUCGGUCUGCGAGCUCAAGACAGGCUUUAUACCUAUGCCACUCAAUUCCUUAAUUUUCUCCCAAGUUGACAAGGUUAUUGAUUGGAGGCUGUUGGCUUGUUCGAUGAUGCAGAAGGGUGGCUAUCGGGAGAUUAAAUCCAAGACAAUUGGAAGUACUAGCUUUGUUGGAGUUGCUAUUUUGGAGCUAAUCAGGGCACUGUUAUUACUCUUCAGACAUGGCUUUUAUGUGCCUGCCAUCAAUUCAAAUGCAGACAUACAGAUUCAGUACAGAUUUGGAGCUGCAAAAUCAAUACAGAUUUGGAUGUUCUGA